GUCUUCAGUCGGGCUGGUUACUCACCACGCGGCGGGCACAUGCUGAGCGGGCACUGGGCGGACACUGGGCUGGAGCUGGAUCCGGACGGUGGACGCAGCAGCUUCCACCUUGUGGGCGGACAGGACUAUUCUAGCUCCAGCCAUCACACCUGCAUUUCAACUGUUGGGAACGGGAUAAGUGGAAAGGGAGAGCAUACUUCUUUCCCUCAAGCCAAGAAGAACCAGUUUUAGACUGGUAUGUGAUUUGCUGAAGAGCUUGGAAGGUACCAGAGGAGAUUCAUGUCGAAAUCCCAUCUCCUGUUCUCCAACCUUACUUUCUAUGAAGACAAAACUUUGAAGACAAACUGAGUUUCCACAGGAAUAAUCACACAGAAGGACAGACCACUGCUAAUUUAGGUAGCUGGCGAUGCAGGGGUGUUGCCUCCUCUCCAGCAUGUCAGCCCAACUUCCUUUCAGUCUCUGAUGUCCAAGACCCAGUCUAGCUAGUUCAAACUCAUCUUCUCACCAAAUUCCAAGGCUAUUAAAGAUUCAAGGACAGGGCUCAGUUGGUUAAGCAUCCAACUCUUGAUUUCAGCUCAGGUCAUGAUCUCACCGUUCAUGAGUUCAAGCCCCAUGCUGGGCUCUGCACUGACAGUGCGGAGCCUGCUUGGGAUU